GAUGAACGCUGGCGGCGUGCCUAAUACAUGCAAGUCGAACGAAGAGCGGUGGAGGUUGCCCCCUUUAAAUUUUCGUGGCGCGGGGGUGUAACACGUGGAUAACCCAUGCAUUAGACUGGGGUAAAUUAGGGAAACACGACUGAAUAUCGGAUAUUAGAUUUAACCGCGUGGUUCAGUAUAGAAAAACGGUGUUGCUGUCACGUAUAGAUUCAUCCGCGGCGAAUUUGCUAGUUGGUAAGGUAACGGGUUACAAAGGCAACGAUGGGUAGCCGACCUGAGAGGGUGACCGGCCACACUGGAACUGAGAAACGGCCCAGACUCCUACGGGAGGCAGCAGUAGGGAACCUUCGGAAAUGGGCGAAAGCCUGACGGAGAAACGCCGCGUGAGUGAUGAAGGUCUUCGGAUCGUAAAACUCUGUUAUCAGGGAAGAACAAAUGUGUAAGUAACUAUGCACGUAUUGACGGUACCUAAUCAGAAAGCCACGGCUAACUACGUG
rnacentral:rRNA from 1 species